UACGUAGGCAGCGAGCGUUGUUCGGAGUUACUGGGCGUAAAGGGUGCGUAGGCGGUUGUUUAAGUUUGGAGUGACAGUUGGUGGCUUAACUGCCAAAGUGCUUCGAAAACUGACAGACUUGAGGGCUUCAGAGGGACACGGAAUUCCGGGUGGAGUGGUGAAAUGCGUAGAGAUCCGGAGGAACACCAAAGGCGAAGGCAGUGUCCUGGGGAGUACCUGACGCUCAGGUGCGAAAGCCAGGGGAGCGAACGGG
rnacentral:rRNA from 1 species